CAGUGGCGAACGGGUGAGUAACACGUGGGCAAUCUGCCCUGCACUCUGGGACAAGCCUUGGAAACGAGGUCUAAUACCGGAUAUUACCCUUGACCGCAUGGUCUUGGGUGGAAAGCUCCGGCGGUGCAGGAUGAGCCCGCGGCCUAUCAGCUUGUUGGUGGGGUGAUGGCCUACCAAGGCGACGACGGGUAGCCGGCCUGAGAGGGCGACCGGCCACACUGGGACUGAGACACGGCCCAGACUCCUACGGGAGGCAGCAGUGGGGAAUAUUGCACAAUGGGCGAAAGCCUGAUGCAGCGACGCCGCGUGAGGGAUGAAGGCCUUCGGGUUGUAAACCUCUUUCAGCAGGGAAGAAGCGCAAGUGACGGUACCUGCAGAAGAAGCACCGGCUAACUACGUGCCAGCAGCCGCGGUAAUACGUAGGGUGCGAGCGUUGUCCGGAAUUAUUGGGCGUAAAGAGCUCGUAGGCGGCUUGUCACGUCGGAUGUGAAAGCCCGGGGCUUAACCCCGGGUCUGCAUUCGAUACGGGCAGGCUAGAGUGUGGUAGGGGAGAUCGNAU
rnacentral:rRNA from 1 species